rnacentral:other from 1 species
AAAUACCUGAAGGAUACGACAACUAUAUUUAAAACCGACAAAGAUAUAUUUAGGGAAUCUAACGUAUUGUAUGUGUUGAAUGCUUAAUCCUAUUAAGAAUCCUAAUUACUAUACCGUGAUUACCCACCUGUGUGAUUGCGCGCGGGUUUUAUCUCCUUAGUAUCGGUUCUUUGGGUAAAUA